GAUGAACGCUGGCGGCGUGCCUAAUACAUGCAAGUCGAGCGAACAGAUGAGGAGCUUGCUCCUCUGACGUUAGCGGCGGACGGGUGAGUAACACGUGGAUAACCUACCUAUAAGACUGGGAUAACUUCGGGAAACCGGAGCUAAUACCGGAUAAUAUAUUGAACCGCAUGGUUCAAUAGUGAAAGACGGUUUUGCUGUCACUUAUAGAUGGAUCCGCGCCGCAUUAGCUAGUUGGUAAGGUAACGGCUUACCAAGGCGACGAUGCGUAGCCGACCUGAGAGGGUGAUCGGCCACACUGGAACUGAGACACGGUCCAGACUCCUACGGGAGGCAGCAGUAGGGAAUCUUCCGCAAUGGGCGAAAGCCUGACGGAGCAACGCCGCGUGAGUGAUGAAGGUCUUCGGAUCGUAAAACUCUGUUAUUAGGGAAGAACAAAUGUGUAAGUAACUAUGCACGUCUUGACGGUACCUGAUCAGAAAGCCACGGCUAACUACGUG
rnacentral:rRNA from 1 species